rfam:Gossypium arboreum cultivar AKA8401 contig_3170_1, whole genome shotgun sequence.
AGUUAAAAAUUUUAUCCAUUUCUACUAUUAAAAACGGAUUUAGUUGAUAAAAUAAUUAGAUAGUUACACAUAGCAUGCUUAAUGUACCUUAUACUAAUGUAUAGAGACUAAUUUUUAACAAUAAAAAUAGAUAAAAUUUUUAACA